UACGUAGGGUGCGAGCGUUAAUCGGAAUUACUGGGCGUAAAGCGUGCGCAGGCGGUUUUGUAAGCCAGAUGUGAAAUCCCCGGGCUUAACCUGGGAACGGCGCUUGUGACUGGAAGGCUAGAGUACGGCAGAGGGGGGUGGAAUUCCACGUGUAGCAGUGAAAUGCGUAGAGAUGUGGAGGAACACCGAUGGCGAAGGCAGCCCCCUGGGCUAACACUGACGCUCAUGCACGAAAGCGUGGGGAGCAAACAGG
rnacentral:rRNA from 1 species